GACAGAGGGUGCAAACGUUGUUCGGAAUUACUGGGCGUAAAGGGCGCGUAGGCGGCCUUCUAAGUCGAACGUGAAAUCCCCGGGCUCAACCCGGGAACUGCGUCCGAUACUGGGAGGCUUGAAUCCGGGAGAGGGAUGUGGAAUUCCAGGUGUAGCGGUGAAAUGCGUAGAUAUCUGGAGGAACACCGGUGGCGAAGGCGGCAUCCUGGACCGGUAUUGACGCUGAGGCGCGAAAGCCAGGGGAGCAAACGGG
rnacentral:rRNA from 1 species